GAUGAACGCUGGCGGCGUGCCUAAUACAUGCAAGUCGAGCGAACGGACGAGAAGCUUGCUUCUCUGAUGUUAGCGGCGGACGGGUGAGUAACACGUGGAUAACCUACCUAUAAGACUGGGAUAACUUCGGGAAACCGGAGCUAAUACCGGAUAAUAUUUUGAACUGCAUGGUUCAAAAGUGAAAGACGGUCUUGCUGUCACUUAUAGAUGGAUCCGCGCUGCAUUAGCUAGUUGGUAAGGUAACGGCUUACCAAGGCAACGAUGCAUAGCCGACCUGAGAGGGUGGUCGGCCACACUGGAACUGAGACACGGUUCAGACUCCUACGGGAGGCAGCAGUAGGGAAUCUUCCGCAAUGGGCGAAAGCCUGACGGAGCAACGCCGCGUGAGUGAUGAAGGUCUUCGGAUCGUAAAACUCUGUUAUUAGGGAAGAACAUAUGUGUAAGUAACUGUGCACAUCUUGACGGUACCUAAUCAGAAAGCCACGGCUAACUACGUG
rnacentral:rRNA from 1 species